UAAAAAAUCCUUAACCUAAACAUUUCAGGGCCGCGCGCUUCCUAUCACUUUCCUCUCUCUCUCCUUCUCCCAUUUCUUUCCUUAACCUAAUUUCAGCUGCCGUCAUCUCUCUCUUCUUCUCUCUCUUCUCUCUCUUCUCUCUCUUUCUCUUCCUUCUUCUUCCUCUCUCACUCCAUUUCGUGAGUUCUCACAUCAACAAUUCCACAGUGCGGUAACUUGUUCAAAGAACGAACUUCAUUUCGUUCGUUUUCACAUGAACAAUUUCGUCUGCAUCCGUUAAUCUAUCAUUCGAAGAUCUUGUUUGAGACCUCAUUUUUUCAUUUUCGUGAAUCUAUCAUUCGAACUUCAUUUCGUUCGUUUUCACAUCAACAAUUUCGUUCUUCGCACAGCAACAUUCGAUUAGCAACGAACUUCACAAAGAGUGAUUUCGUUCUUCGCACUCCAAAAAUAAGAUCUUGUUUGAAGACCUCAUUUUUUCAUUUCGUGAAUUUUUCGGUUUUCAUUUUUCGCAACGAACUUCACAAGGAGCGAUUCCAGAUCUUGUUUGAAGACCUUGUUUGAAGACUCCAAAAAUAACAUCGAGAAGGAAGGUCAAGAUGCGAAGGAAGCUCCAACAUUUUUCGCUGCAUCUUCGUUUUCAUUUUUCCAGAUUUGUUUUUAUGAAUUAUUGUAAUAUUUUUCCAGCAUUUUCGUUUUUAUUUUUCCAGAUCUAUUCGAAUUUUUGUACGGUAUUUUUAUUAGUUUUAUUUUUCCAGAUCUAUCUCUACACAUUCAUUGUCAUUUUUUAAUUGAAGUUUGGUUGUGGUCA